rnacentral:rRNA from 1 species
GACGAACGCUGGCGGCGUGCCUAAUACAUGCAAGUCGAACGCAGUGGGGACGGGUGAGUAACACGUGGGUAACCUCCCAUCAGAGGAGAUAACACUUGGAAACAGGUGCUAAACCGAUACUGAUGGAUGGACCCGCGGUGCAGUAGCUAGUUGGUGAGGUAACGGCUCACCAAGGCCACGAUGCAUAGCCGGUCUGAGAGGGUGAUCGGCCACACUGGGACUGAGACACGGCCCAGACUCCUACGGGAGGCAGCAGUAGGGAAUCUUCGGCAAUGGACGAAAGUCUGACCGAGCCAUGCCGCGUGUGUGAAGAAGGCUUUCGGAUUGUAAAGCUCUGUUGUUAGAGAAGCGUUACCUACCCAGAAAGCCCCGGCUAACUCCGUGCCAGCCGCCGCGGUAAUUC